AUUGAACGCUGGCGGCAUGCUUUACACAUGCAAGUCGAACGGUAACAGGCCGCAAGGUGCCGACGAGUGGCGAACGGGUGAGUAAUGCAUCGGAACGUGCCCAGUCGUGGGGGAUAACGCAGCGAAAGCUGCGCUAAUACCGCAUACGAUCUCUGGAUGAAAGCGGGGGACCGAAAGGCCUCGCGCGAUUGGAGCGGCCGAUGUCAGAUUAGGUAGUUGGUGGGGUAAAGGCCCACCAAGCCAACGAUCUGUAGCUGGUCUGAGAGGACGACAAGCCACACUGGGACUGAGCAACGGCCCAGACUCCUACGGGAGGCAGCAGUAGGGAAUUUUGGACAAUGGGCGCAAGCCUGAUCCAGCAAUGCCGCGUGCAGGAAGAAGGCCUUCGGGUUGUAAACUGCUUUUGUACGGAACGAAACGGUCCGGGUUAAUACCCUGGGCUAAUGACGGUACCGUAAGAAUAAGCACCGGCUAACUACGUGCCAGCCGCCGCCGUAA
rnacentral:rRNA from 1 species